AGGCGUGUGCUUGCACCCCGCUGACGAGCGGCGGACGGGUGAGUAAUGCAUAGGAAACUGCCCAGUAGUGGGGGAUAGCCCGGGGAAACCCGGAUUAAUACCGCGUACGCCCUUUGGGGGAAAGCAGGGGAUCUUCGGACCUUGCGCUAUUGGAUGUGCCUAUGUCGGAUUAGCUAGUUGGUGGGGUAAAGGCUCACCAAGGCGACGAUCCGUAGCUGGUCUGAGAGGAUGAUCAGCCACAUCGGGACUGAGACACGGCCCGAACUCCUACGGGAGGCAGCAGUGGGGAAUAUUGGACAAUGGGGGCAACCCUGAUCCAGCCAUGCCGCGUGUGUGAAGAAGGCUUUCGGGUUGUAAAGCACUUUCAGUGAGGAGGAAAAGUUGGUCACUAAUAUUGGCCAGCCUUGACGUUACUCACAGAAGAAGCACCGGCUAACUCCGUGCCAGCAGCCGCGGUAAUACGGAGGGUGCAAGCGUUAAUCGGAAUUACUGGGCGUAAAGCGCGCGUAGGUGGUUUGAUAAGCGAGAUGUGAAAGCCCCGGGCUUAACCUGGGAACGGCAUUUCGAACUGUCAGGCUAGAGUAUGGUAGAGGAGUGUGGAAUUUCCU
rnacentral:rRNA from 1 species